CCUACGGGGGGCUGCAGUCGAGAAUCUUCCGCAAUGGACGAAAGUCUGACGGAGCGACGCCGCGUGCAGGAUGACGUACUUCGGUAUGUAAACUGCUUUUGCCAGGGAGGAAGUAUAUUGACGGUACUUGGCGAAUAAGAGGUUGCUAAACUCGUGCCAGCAGCAGCGGUAAUACGAGUGCCUCAAGCGUUAUCCGGAAUUACUGGGCGUAAAGGGUGCGUAGGUGGUCUUGUUAGUCUGGUGUUAAAUUCUGUGGCUUAACCGCAGUUUCGCACUGGAAACGGCAAGACUUUGAGGACGAGAGAGGUCUGUAGAACUCAUGGUGUAGCGGUGAAAUGCGUUGAUAUCAUGGGGAAUACCAAAAGCGAAGGCAGCAGACUGGAGCGUUCCUGACACUGAGGCACGAAAGCGUGGGUAGCGAAUGGGCUUAGAUACCCGUGUAGUC
rnacentral:rRNA from 1 species